rnacentral:tRNA from 1 species
GCGUGAUUAGCUCAGCUGGGAGAGCACCUCCCUUACAAGGAGGGGGUCGGCGGUUCGAUCCCGUCAUCACCCACCC